UGAUGCGUAGCUCAAUUGACAGAGCGCUUGCCUGAUAAUCAAGAGGUUGCCGGUUUGAGUCCGGUCGCGUCAA
rnacentral:tRNA from 1 species